CAGAACAUACUUGGCUAUUGCCAGGUAGCUAUGAUGGUGGUGCUCAGACAGUAUACCAACAUUCCUCCAUUUUGGUUCAAUUAAGAAAAGAAAAAUUAGAGUCGAUGGUGGAGCAGCAAUAGGGUCAUUGUGAUCUCUAACUACUUCUUGCUUGCUUUGGGAUGACAUGUCUCUAAGGAACCUAGAAAAAUGGGGUGCUUCCCCCUGGAUAUUUCCCCACCCAGACACAUCAAGUCUUGAGCAGAUUUGGCAAAUCCUCUGCUACCAAGGAUGGAAAAGGACAAGAAUAAUCUUACAAAAUAGUCAUCCAAAUUAAAAAUCUCUAGGAUACCUAUUGUUGCCUUCUUUGUUGUUUUAUCCCACGUGGUCACCAUUACUCAAGAUGGCAGUGACGUCACAUGGCACUUAUUCCCACUAACCUUAGUGAAGAUUGCUGUAAGCCAUGUUUGCCUUCAUUCCAAUAAAACUAAGUUUGUAGCAAACCACAUGAUGCAAACAGUCUGAUCAGUCAAUAUGGUCUCAUGCCACAUG
rnacentral:sRNA from 1 species